UAGGGAAUCUUCCUCAAUGGGCGAAAGCCUGAUGGAGCAACGCCGCGUGUGUGAUGAAGGGUUUCGGCUCGUAAAACACUGUUGUAAGAGAAGAAUGACAUUGAGAGUAACUGUUCAAUGUGUGACGGUAUCUUACCAGAAAGGAACGGCUAAAUACGUGCUAG
rnacentral:rRNA from 1 species